CCACUACUCCGUGGAGUCAUUAAAGGCUUAGGCAUAUCGUGCUCUUGCACUUCAUGUAAAGGCCGAAAUGUUGUUUCAUCUUUUUAUUUCGAGGUGCCUGCUGGGAGUCAUAAAAAGCGCCCCACUGAUUAUAUUUUCCUGGAAAUUGGAAAUACUCUGCAUGAUGUAUUGAGGGUGUGCACAGGUGCUACCUUAGACACACUGGAAUCUGCAGUACAGGGAGCAAUAGGCCCAGUGCCUAAGAAGAGGACAUUUUUCUGGUUCUUCAUGAAUCAUUUGAUCUAUUAUCCAAGCUACGACCGGGCGAGACCUUAUUCCAGCCAUGGUCUACGGGAGGAGCGUAAGGGAUCAAGAUUAAUAAGGGAUGUACUGAAGCGUAGGAUCUUCUCAGGGCUCCAGAAUUUUGACCGGAGUAAUGUUGCAUCUAUUGUCAUGGCUGCAGAUAAGGUCACUGCUGAUCUUGUCAAUCGAGAAGUCUGCAAGCAGACAGCAGGGUUA
rnacentral:rRNA from 1 species